UACAGAGACUGCAAGCGUUAUUCGGAUUCACUGGGCGUAAAGGGUGCGCAGGCGGCCGUGUGUGUGAGGCGUGAAAGCCCGGGGCUUAACCCCGGAAUUGCACCUCAAACUACAUGGCUAGAGCAUUGGAGAGGGUAGCAGAAUUCAUGGUGUAGCAGUGAAAUGCGUAGAUAUCAUGAGGAAUACCAGAGGCGAAGGCGGCUACCUGGACAAUUGCUGACGCUCAGGCACGAAAGCGUGGGGAGCAAACAGG
rnacentral:rRNA from 1 species